GACGAACGCUGGCGGCGCGCUUAACACAUGCAAGUCGAACGGAAAGGCCUGCUUUCCCUUGUGGAUUGCGGGUACUCGAGUGGCGAACGGGUGAGUAACACGUGAGUGAUCUGCCCCCAACUUGGGUAUAAGCCUGGGAAACUGGGUCUAAUUCCCGAUAGGACUGCAGGGUGGUGCCUGUGGUGGAAAACGAUUUUCUAGUGGUUGGGGAUGAGCUCGCGGCCCAUCAGCUUGUUGGUGGGGUAAUGGCCUACCAAGGCGGCGACGGGUAGCCGGCCUGAGAGGGUGGACGGCCACAUUGGGACUGAGAUACGGCCCAGACGCCUACGGGAGGCAGCAGUGGGGAAUAUUGCACAAUGGGCGGAAGCCUGAUGCAGCGACGCCGCGUGGGGGAUGACGGCCUUCGGGUUGUAAACUCCUUUCGACCGCGAGGAAGCCACCUGGUUGGAAGGGUGGUGACGGUAGUGGUAGAAGAAGCACCGGCUAACUACGUG
rnacentral:rRNA from 1 species